UGCAGUUUCAAAAAGCUAAUUCACACUACUGUGUGCAUUAGAAAGGUGGUAUAUAUGAUAUUCCACUAAGGGAAACCCUAGGAACAUUAAACUCCUACUAGUAACUGGUCACGAGUCAGGGCUAGAACUGACACUAGUCAUUUUUCUUCACUGACAAGUUUUCAUUAUGUGGCUUUCCCAGAACAAUUUAGAAAUUGAUCUGCAACUGAUGGAAGCUGGGAUGAAUUGGGCGCAUAAGUGAACCCAAAGCAUCAGAGCAAAGUCAAAGCGAACAUCUGGCUCCAGCUUUGAGUACAAGAAAGGAAGGAAGAAAGAACAUGCUGGAAGCAGAGCAAAGAAGAGG
rnacentral:lncRNA from 1 species